rnacentral:rRNA from 1 species
GACGAACGCUGGCGGCGUGCUUAACACAUGCAAGUCGAACGGAAAGGCCCUGCUUUUGUGGGGUGCUCGAGUGGCGAACGGGUGCGUAACACGUGAGUAACCUGCCCUUGACUUUGGGAUAACUUCAGGAAACUGGGGCUAAUACCGGAUAGGAGCUCCUGCUGCAUGGUGGGGGUUGGAAAGUUUCGGCGGUUGGGGAUGGACUCGCGGCUUAUCAGCUUGUUGGUGGGGUAGUGGCUUACCAAGGCUUUGACGGGUAGCCGGCCUGAGAGGGUGACCGGCCACAUUGGGACUGAGAUACGGCCCAGACUGCUACGGGAGGCAGCAGUGGGGAAUAUUGCACAAUGGGCGGAAGCCUGAUGCAGCAACGCCGCGUGCGGGAUGACGGCCUUCGGGGUGUAAACCGCUUUCGCCUGUGACGAAGCGUGAGUGACGGUAAUGGGUAAAGAAGCACCGGCUAACUACGUG